UGGGGAAUUUUGGACAAUGGGGGCAACCCUGAUCCAGCCAUGCCGCGUGCGGGAAGAAGGCCUUCGGGUUGUAAACCGCUUUUAGCCGGGAAGAAAAGGUCGCGGAUAACACCUGCGAUUUUUGACGGUACCGGCGGAAUAAGCACCGGCUAACUACGUGCCAGCAGCCGCGGUAAUACGUAGGGUGCGAGCGUUAAUCGGAAUUACUGGGCGUAAAGCGUGCGCAGGCGGUUCGUCGUGUCCGAUGUGAAAGCCCCGGGCUCAACCUGGGAAUGGCAUUGGAAACUGGCGGGCUUGAGUGUGGCAGAGGGGGGUGGAAUUCCGCGUGUAGCAGUGAAAUGCGUAGAGAUGCGGAGGAACACCGAUGGCGAAGGCAGCCCCCUGGGCUGACACUGACGCUCAGGCACGAAAGCGUGGGGAGCAAACAGGAUUAGAUACCCUGGUAGUCCACGCCCUAAACGAUGAUCACUGGGUGUUCGGGGAGCGAUCUCUGAGUACCGUAGCUAACGCG
rnacentral:rRNA from 1 species